AUUGAUCUUUUCAUUCGAUUUUCAGCUACCUACCUGUUACUACAGGUUAUAAUACAUGUUUUAACACUAUUUUAGAAAAUACCUAGACUUAAGUCCAGUACUUGAGCUGAAAACUUAGAAAUUUAAUUUUAUUCUCUUUUUAAUCAGUUCAAUAGUGUUAAGAGCAACCACAUUACUCCUUGGCCCUUGAAAUUCUCAUUUAAAAUUUUUAAAUUAGUUUCCUAGGGUUGGCAUAAAAGUAUCAAAAAGUCAAAUGUCUAAAAGAAUGGAAAUUUAUCAAAUUACAGUUAUGGAGGCUAAAAAUUCCAAAUCAAAGUAUUGGCAUAGCAUGCUCCUACAGAAUCCAAUAGGGGACCCCUCACUUUCUCCUUAGCAUCUAGUGGUUGCUUAUAAUUUUUAUUCUGCUUUUAUUCACAACUGUAAAAGUCCAAUGUCUUCCUUUAUUGCUAUAUGAAAUUCUCUUUAUGUACGUCUCUGCUUUCAUAUAGUUGUUUUCUUACGAAGACCCCUCUAAUAUUAGACUGUAGGUGCAUUCUAAUCAAGUACAGAUGUCAUUGUGACAUAACCAAUUACAUAUACAAUAAUCAUAUUCUCAAAAUCUUCAUAAUGUGAAGCACCAGGGAUAAGAAUUUUAUUACAGUUUUUCCUGGGAUACACAGCGAAAUCCAAGACAUAUUCUUCCAUGCUGUAUCAUUAGCACUCCACAGUCUCACCCUCAGCUCAGGAGGCCAUUGCUGCAGACUGAAUGAAUAGAGCCUCCAGAUCUUAGAUGUUCAUCCUCCAAAUGUGUGGAGACACAACAUUCCCACGAACCAGAUCUUUAAGCAAGAGUUUUCAUGGUUCCAGGAGACAGAUCACACUGCUCCUUCCUAUGUGGUCCUGCAGGGCAUGACACAUCUGCCUCUAGGACCUG